rnacentral:rRNA from 1 species
GUGGCAGCCGCCGCGGUAAUACGGAGGGUGCAAGCGUUGUCCGGAAUCACUGGGUGUAAAGGGUGUGCAGGCGGGGCAGCAAGUCGGAGGUGAAAUCCCACGGCUCAACCGUGGAAGUGCCUUCGAAACUGUUGCUCUUGAGUCCCGGAGAGGUUGCCGGAAUUCGUGGUGUAGCGGUGAAAUGCGUAGAUAUCACGAGGAACACCAGAGGCGAAAGCGGACAGCUGGACGGGUACUGACGCUCAGGCACGAAAGCGUGGGGAGCAAACAGGAUUAGAUACCCCAGUAGUCC